rnacentral:lncRNA from 1 species
CAUCUCUAAAAUUAGUGUCAAACGAUUUGGAAGUGCGCAGUUAAAAAAAAUUACCAACUUAAGUAAUACAACAACAUAAUACAUACAAAAGUAAUACAGACAUGGAAAUGAACAUGGACUUAAAUAGUAUAUAUGAUAACACGUCGGAUAAUACACCGAUCACCAAGAGAGAUCUCAAAAACUUGGAACAAAAAAUGUUAGAUGAAUUGAAAAAACAGAGAGAAAAAUAUUGUCUGAAUUAAAUCACAACCAAAAAUCGGUGAGGAAGACUCUUACUCGCAUUUUGGAAGAAACGAAAGUAAGAAGUCAGAACCAUACAGAAAGGAAAGUGGCCACCAGUCUUCAAAAAAAAAACCGUAUACCAGUCUAGAUGAAUUCAAAGCAUUUGAAAAAGAAAUUCAAGAACAUCACUCUAAAUUUAAUAGCCUGGUGGCUGACUUAUCAUUAGUGUUUUCACAAUCUGCGGAAAAGUAUGUAAAGGCUGCCUGGCGAAAAAUAUUAUCGGAUGAAGCCGCUCAGCAUUUAUCUUGGAAGGGCACAGAAACCAAAAUGCUCAUUUUCGAAAAAAUAUCCACAUUGUUCGGACAGCAAAUUCGAAAGGACUAGUAUUUCCUUUUUUCAACAUGCGGAAACUCGUUUUUUCAAAAAAAAAAAAAAUACAAAACCAGCAAGACUAUGUAAUAUGUAAACAAAUACUUUUACUUUUAUGAAAUGCAACUUUUUAGUUUUAAAUGUUACUUAAGUUAACUGCUUUAUUAUGUUAUGAAGAAUUUAUUUUAAAUGUUAAAUGAACUAGUAUUUUCUUUUUCCA